AGCACGAGCCGAAUUUAUUGCCCGUGGAAGUACCCACGAUAGGAAUACACUGUUGGGAACAUAAUGGCGCCGCUGACGGUACCUAUGUAAGUGGAAUUACUUUAUUGGAAGUACCCACGACGGGGAAAAUAGUCUCUCUAGUAUUGUCGGUGAAUGGUGAUGGUGGUGGUGGCGAUGGCUACUUUCCUCUGCUCAGAGAGAACCCCUGCAUGUCCUUCGUCGUGAUGCGAAAGAGCAGUGGAUGCAGAAAAUGUCUCUACCUGCCAGGAUGGUAUAAGAGCACGAACUGAAUCACCUGUUGGUGCAGAAGGCUUGGAGGACUGCUUUUGAAACAGUUGUUCAAAUUUCCUGCACCUCUUCGUAGCCGUUGUCUGAUUGCUGCAUUCUGGGAAGACUGAAGUUAAGAAGCCCUCACCGAAACCAACACUACGUUGCUGUGUUGUUUUCUUCCAAGAUCGGGCACAGUAAAGGAGACGACUCUGUAUCAAGGCACUACCCAGAGGGAGGAUGUUGGCCUUCUCCUGAUGGGAAAAUGUCUUCUUUCUCAUGGCGUGGCCAGGACUGCACUGACCCUACCAUCCACUCUACCUCUCUGGAAAGGGACUUGACAACCAGUCAAGAUGGAAGUGCAGAGAUAUACCAGCGCUUCUAGCAUUAACUGCCAAUUUGCACUGACGCAGCAAGACUCCCAACAGUCAAAAAGAAUAAUAUAGACGUGCAGAAAAUGUAGGAGGGGCGAUGACAUCAGAAGGACACUCUCAGGUUCAGGGUACCUGUACUGCCCCAAUAAAGUGGGUCAGAUCCCAAAACGAGGUUGGCCGAAGCAAAAAAAAUAGAAGAGCCUGCCUUGAACUGAAUAUGAGGAAGAAGAAGAAGAAGACGAAGAAAGAGAAAGAGUAGGAAUUUGUUUGUGUAAACUUUGUUUCCUCUGUCUAGGCUGCCAUCGCAUUAUAGCAGCCAACAGUGUGUGUGUGUGUGUGUGUGUGUGUGUGUGUGUGUGUGUGUGUGUGUGUGUGUGUGUGUGUGUGUGUGUGUGUGUGUGUGUGUGUGUGUGUGUGUGUGUGUGCAUAUGUGUGUGUGUGUUUGCGUUUGUGUGCACACGCUUGUGUGUGUGUUUGCAUGUGUGUAUAUUCUGCUAAUCUUGACUUAAAUUUCCACAUCUGGGCAGAUUGUGUUCUGUAUGUGAAUUUAUCUUCAUUAACUUGUGCGCUACGUUCCUUUCUUCACGUUACGGCACUUUAGUAUUGUUUUACUUGAACAUCAUACUCUCGCCCAACUUUGUUUCACCAACAAAGGUUUAUUCU